AAUGAGUACAAUUUAAAUCCCUUAAACGAGGAACAAUUGGAGGGCAAGUCUGGUGCCAGCAGCCGCGGUAAUUCCAGCUCCAAUAGCGUAUAUUAAAGUUGUUGUGGUUAAAAAGCUCGUAGUUGAACCUUGGGCCUGGCUGGCCGGUCCGCCUCACCGCGUGUACUGGUCCGGCCGGGCCUUUCCCUCUGUGGAACCUCAUGCCCUUCACUGGGUGUGGCGGGGAAACAGGACUUUUACUUUGAAAAAAUUAGAGUGCUCCAGGCAGGCCUAUGCUCGAAUACAUUAGCAUGGAAUAAUGAAAUAGGACGUGUGGUUCUAUUUUGUUGGUUUCUAGGACCGCCGUAAUGAUUAAUAGGGACAGUCGGGGGCAUCAGUAUUCAAUUGUCAGAGGUGAAAUUCUUGGAUUUAUUGAAGACUAACUACUGCGAAAGCAUUUGCCAAGGAUGUUUUCAUUAAUCAGGAACGAAAGUUAGGGGAUCGAAGACGAUCAGAUACCGUCGUAGUCUUAACCAUAAACUAUGCCGACUAGGGAUCGGACGAUGUUAUUUUUUGACGCGUUCGGCACCUUACGAGAAAUCAAAGUGCUUGGGCUCCGGGGGGAGUAUGGUCGCAAGGCUGAAACUUAAAGAAAUUGACGGAAGGGCACCACCAGGGGUGGAGCCUGCGGCUUAAUUUGACUCAACACGGGGAAACUCACCAGGUCCAGACACAAUGAGGAUUGACAGAUUGAGAGCUCUUUCUUGAUUUUUGUGGGUGGUGGUGCAUGGCCGUUCUUAGUUGGUGGAGUGAUUUGUCUGCUUAAUUGCGAUAACGAACGAGACCUUAACCUGCUAAAUAGCCCGUAUUGCUU
rnacentral:rRNA from 1 species